AUUGAACGCUGGCGGCAGGCCUAACACAUGCAAGUAGAGCGGAACGGCGGACGGGUGAGUACUGCCUAGGAAUCUGCCUGGUAGUGGGGGAUAACGUCCGGAAACGGGCGCUAAUACCGCCUACUAUCCGACGAGCCUAGGUCGGAUUUGCUAGUUGGUGGGGUAAAGGCCUACCAAGGCAACGAUCCGACACUGGUCUGAGAGGAUGAUCAGUCACACUGGAACUGAGACACGGUCCAGACUCCUACGGGAGGCAGCAGUGGGGAAUAUUGGACAAUGGGCGAAAGCCUGAUCCAGCCAUGCCGCGUGUGUGAAGAAGGUCUUCGGAUUGUAAAGCACUUUAAGUUGGGAGGCGUUACCAACAGAGUAAGCACCGGCUAACUUCGUGCCAGCAGCCGCGGUAAUAC
rnacentral:rRNA from 1 species